rnacentral:lncRNA from 1 species
CACCCUGAAUAUGACUCUGAAUAUGAAAUGAUGUCAAAUCCAAUAUCAUACUCAUAUUUCUCUCAAUAUUAUAUGAUGAUUUAAUUAAUAAAGUAUUAGAAACUCUUUCUAAUUUUUAUUCUUCUUUGAUCAAAGGCUUCCUAAAUCAUCAAUCGAUCAGAACAAGUAGGAUGAGAUUUUCUCUUAUCAGGAGUGAUCGAUUCCAUGUUGACCUACUCACAAUCUCCAUACACAUUCUACCAUAUCU